rnacentral:rRNA from 1 species
AACGAACGCUGGCGGCAUGCCUAACACAUUCAAGUCGAACGAAGCCUUCGGGCUUAGUGGCGCACGGGUGCGUAACGCGUGGGAAUCUGCCCUUUGGUUCGGAAUAACAGUUGGAAACGACUGCUAAUACCGGAUGAUGACGAAAGGCCAAAGAUUUAUCGCCAGAGGAUGAGCCCGCGUAGGAUUAGCUAGUUGGUGUGGUAAAGGCGCACCAAGGCGACGAUCCUUAGCUGGUCUGAGAGGAUGAUCAGCCACACUGGGACUGAGACACGGCCCAGACUCCUACGAGAGGAAGCAGUGGGGAAUAUUGGACAAUGGGAGAAAGCCUGAUCCAGCCAUGCCGCUUAAGUGAUGAAGGCCCUAGGGUUGUAAAGCUCUUUUACCCGGGAUGAUAAUGACAGUACCGGGAGAAUAAGCCCCGGCUACUCCGUGCCAGCCGCCGCCGUAA